UACGUAGGUGGCGAGCGUUGUCCGGAAUUACUGGGUGUAAAGGGCGUGUAGGCGGGGCGGCAAGUCAGAUGUGAAAUUCCGGGGCUUAACCCCGGCGCUGCAUCUGAAACUGUCGUUCUUUAGUGUCGGAGAGGAAAGUUGAAUUCCCAGUGUAGCGGUGAAAUGCGUAGAGAUAGGGAGGAACACCAGUGGCGAAGGCUGCUUUCUGGACGAUAACUGACGCUGAGGCGCGAAAGCGUGGGGAGCAAUCAGG
rnacentral:rRNA from 1 species